rnacentral:rRNA from 1 species
UGGGGAAUAUUGGACAAUGGGCGAAAGCCUGAUCCAGCCAUGCCGCGUGUGUGAAGAAGGUCUUCGGAUUGUAAAGCACUUUAAGUUGGGAGGAAGGGCAGUAGCGAAUACCUUGCUGUUUUGACGUUACCGACAGAAUAAGCACCGGCUAACUCUGUGCCAGCAGCCGCGGUAAUACAGAGGGUGCAAGCGUUAAUCGGAAUUACUGGGCGUAAAGCGCGCGUAGGUGGUUCGUUAAGUUGAAUGUGAAAGCCCCGGGCUCAACCUGGGAACUGCAUCCAAAACUGGCGAGCUAGAGUAGGGCAGAGGGUAGUGGAAUUUCCUGUGUAGCGGUGAAAUGCGUAGAUAUAGGAAGGAACACCAGUGGCGAAGGCGACCACCUGGGCUCAUACUGACACUGAGGUGCGAAAGCGUGGGGAGCAAACAGG